rnacentral:tRNA from 1 species
GCCGAAGUGGUGGAACUGGUAGACACGCACGUUUGAGGGGAGUGUGGGGAGACCCAUGCGGGUUCGAGUCCCGCCUUCGGCACCA